UCUCUCCAUUGCUAAAACCCUAAUCUAUAUCGAUCAUCUCUCUUUGAUCAUGACCCAGAUCUGUAUUCAACCACUGAUCUCAACAAGAUCGAUCUGUGGACUGAUCUCUGCAAGUUUCAGUACGCCUCAACUAUUCCAGAUUGUACGAUCAGCCUGUUCCAGUCCGUGAUCAAACUGUUCCAUAUCUACGAGUUCUUUGACUGCAAGUACCAGCUCGCGUACCAAUGAUCCCGAUCAGCUCAACCUAAGCUGAUCUCUAUCUGAAUCUCCAUCUCUCUCUCUCUCUCUCUCUCUCUCUAUCGAUAAACCCUAAU
rnacentral:lncRNA from 1 species